AUGAAGCCUGGACUGAACAAGGCCAAGAACAGGUCUGGACUCGGCAGGAGGACACAGACGCGUCAGACCAGAGUCAGCGUCCCUCCUGAGGAGACAUCUGGACAAGCAGUGUUGGGGUUUGGAAUAACUUCGAGAUUAUUUAAUAAACUGAAACUUACAUUAAGUUCAGGCUGCAGCGGCAGAGGAAGCACCAGCAGAGAGCGGAGCAGCAGACCAGCACAGGCGAUCCAAGAGGUGAUCAGUUCAGAUGAACUCCUCUUUGAUCUGUGUCUCUGUGCUGCUAACGCCUCAGCUCUGAGCGUCUAUAAAGGAACGACCGGUUUGUGCUCGACACCAGUGCAGAGCCAGACUGCAGCGCCGCAGAGAAAACAGUUCUGUCGCCAUCAUCGCCGCCACUAUGAUGCUGAGUGUGUCUCUGUGUGUGUGGAUCGUUGUCGCCAUGACUCAGAUAGCUGGUGAGGAUUUCACCUUUCACCUCAGAGGCACUAAAACCACCAAUCACCUGAGGAAAUGCAGAAUAUAUAUA
rnacentral:lncRNA from 1 species